ensembl:misc_RNA Metazoa_SRP Metazoan signal recognition particle RNA
GCUGGGCACAGUAGCGCUGCCUGUACUCCCAGCUACUCGGGAGGCUGAGGCUGGAGGAUCGCUUGAGUCAAGGAGUUCUGGGCUGCAGUGCGCUAUGCUGAACGGGUGUCCGCACUAAGUUCAGCACCAUUAUGGUGACCUCCUGGGAGCAGGGGACCACCAGGUUGCCUAAGGUGGGGUGAACCAGCCCAGGUCGGAAAUGAAGCAGGUCAAAACUCUCAUGCUGAUCAGUAGCAGGAUUACACCUGUGAAUAGCCACUGUACUCCAGCCUGGGCAACAUAGCAAGACCCCAUCUCUA